rnacentral:tRNA from 1 species
UCCUUGGUGGUCCAAUGACUAAGAUUCUGAGUUCCCAAUGCAGGGGGUCCAGGUUCGAGCCCUGGUCAGGGAA